rnacentral:lncRNA from 1 species
AAUGACCAAUACCUGCAAAACACAUCCACUAAUACAAAUUAUUAGCUACUCAUUUAAUGAUCUUCCCACACCACCUAACAUUUCCACAUGAUGAAACUUCGGCUCUCUUCUUGGUGCCUGCCUAAUUCUCCAGAUCAUCACAGGAUUAUUUUUGGCCAUGCACUAUACAUCAGACACCUCAGCUGCCUUUUCUUCAGUCGCUCAUAUUGGCCAAGAUGUAAACUAAGGCUGAAUGGUCUGCUAUUUUCAUGCCAACGGGGCUUCAAUAUUUUUCAUCUGCCUCUUCUUACAUGUUGUUGAGGCUUAUACUACGGUUCAUUUCCAUUCCUAGAAACCUGAAAUAUUGGCAUUAUCCUCCUAUUCACGACUAUAACAACAGCAUUCAUGGGCUACGUGCUCCCAUGAGGCCAAAUAUCAUUCUGAGGCCCUACAGGAAUUACAAAUCUACUAUCAGUCAUCUCAUAUAUUGGAACUGACAUUGUACAACGAAUCUGAGGCAGAUUCUCAGUUGACAAAGCCACCCUCACACGAUUUUUCACCUUCCAUUUCAUCUUACCCUUCAUCAUUAUAGUGCUCGCAACUGUUCUUUUAUUCUUGCAUGAAACAGAAUCUAACAACCCUUCAGGGGUUUCAUCAGAUCCCGACAAAAUCACUUUCCACCCCUACUGUACAACCAAAGAUAUUCUAGGUUUAAUUUUUCUUCUCCUCCUUCUAAUAACUCUAAUACUAUUUUUGCCUGAUCUCCUGAGCAAACCUGAUAAUUACCCUUUAGCCAACCCCCUCAAUACCCCACCCCACAUUAAGCCAGAGUGGUACUUUUUGUUUGCAUAUGCAAUAUUGUGAUCUAUCCCUACAAAUUAGGAAGCGCACUGGCCCUCGUAUUCUCCAUUCUCAUUCUAGCAGUAUUCCCAUAUUUCACAAGUCUAAACAACAAAGCAUAAUAUUGCGGCCAUUAAGUUAAUGCCUAUUAUGAACCCUAGUGGCUGACCUGCUUACACUCACCUGAAUCGGAGGGCAGCCAGUCCAAUAAUCUUUUAUUGCCAUCAGACAGACAGUAUCUAUCAUGUACUUCUCUACCAUCCUCACCCUUAUACUGCUCACUACCCUAAUUGAAAAUAAAUUACUUAAA